rnacentral:rRNA from 1 species
GGCGAGUGGCGAACGGGUGAGUAACAUAUCGGAACGUACCGAGUAGUGGGGGAUAACUGAUCGAAAGAUCAGCUAAUACCGCAUACGUCUUGAGAGGGAAAGCAGGGGACCUUCGGGCCUUGCGCUAUUCGAGCGGCCGAUAUCUGAUUAGCUAGUUGGUGGGGUAAGGGCCUACCAAGGCGACGAUCAGUAGCGGGUCUGAGAGGAUGAUCCGCCACACUGGGACUGAGACACGGCCCAGACUCCUACGGGAGGCAGCAGUGGGGAAUUUUGGACAAUGGGCGCAAGCCUGAUCCAGCCAUGCCGCGUGUCUGAAGAAGGCCUUCGGGUUGUAAAGGACUUUUGUCAGGGAAGAAAAGGCUGUUGCUAAUAUCAGCGGCUGAUGACGGUACCUGAAGAAUAAGCACCGGCUAACUACGUGCCAGCAGCCGCGGUAAUACGUAGGGUGCGAGCGUUAAUCGGAAUUACUGGGCGUAAAGCGAGCGCAGACGGUUACUUAAGCAGGAUGUGAAAUCCCCGGGCUUAACCUGGGAACUGCGUUCUGAACUGGGUGACUAGAGUGUGUCAGAGGGAGGUAGAAUUCCACGUGUAGCAGUGAAAUGCGUAGAGAUGUGGAGGAAUACCGAUGGCGAAGGCAGCCUCCUGGGAUAACACUGACGUUCAUGCUCGAAAGCGUGGGUAGCAAACAGGAUUAGAUACCCUGGUAGUCCACGCCCUAAACGAUGUCAAUUAGCUGUUGGGCAACUUGAUUGUUCAGUAGCGUAGCUAACGCGUGAAAUUGACCGCCUGGGGAGUACGGUCGCAAGAUUAAAACUCAAAGGAAUUGACGGGGACCCGCACAAGCGGUGGAUGAUGUGGAUUAAUUCGAUGCAACGCGAAGAACCUUACCUGGUCUUGACAUGUACGGAAUCCUCCAGAGACGGAGGAGUGCCUUCGGGAGCCGUAACACAGGUGCUGCAUGGCUGUCGUCAGCUCGUGUCGUGAGAUGUUGGGUUAAGUCCCGCAACGAGCGCAACCCUUGUCAUUAGUUGCCAUCAUUCAGUUGGGCACUCUAAUGAGACUGCCGGUGACAAGCCGGAGGAAGG